rnacentral:misc_RNA from 1 species
CCGAGUUUACAACUCCCAAACCCCUGUGAACAUACCACUUGUUGCCUCGGCGGAUCAGCCCGCUCCCGGUAAAACGGGACGGCCCGCCAGAGGACCCUUAAACUCAUGUUUCUAGUAUGCAUCACUUCUGAGUAAAACAUUAAUAAUUAC